UUUAUUGGGCGUAAAGCGAGCGCAGGCGGUUAGAUAAGUCUGAAGUUAAAGGCAGUGGCUCAACCAUUGUAGGCUUUGGAAACUGUUUAACUUGAGUGCAGAAGGGGAGAGUGGAAUUCCAUGUGUAGCGGUGAAAUGCGUAGAUAUAUGGAGGAACACCGGUGGCGAAAGCGGCUCUCUGGUCUGUAACUGACGCUGAGGCUCGAAAGCGUGGGGAGCGAACAGGAUUAGAUACCCUGGUAGUCCACGCCGUAAACGAUGAGUGCUAGGUGUUAGGUCCUUUCCGGGACUUAGUGCCGCAGCUAACGCAUUAAGCACUCCGCCUGGGGAGUACGACCGCAAGGUUGAAACUCAAAGGAAUUGACGGGGGCCCGCACAAGCGGUGGAGCAUGUGGUUUAAUUCGAAGCAACGCGAAGAACCUUACCAGGUCUUGACAUCCCUCUGACCGCUCUAGAGAUAG
rnacentral:rRNA from 1 species